UAUGCCGAAUAGCAUCAGCGAACUUUAUGCGCCGCCACGGGAGGUACGGGUUUUAGCCGUUCGUAGAGACGGCGGAACGGAUAAUGGCCCUACAUAAAAUCGUCUUGAACCAGUUAGCAAUUACUAAGAAGCGUAGAAAGAGGAAGCAAAAAUUUUUAGAGAAAGUGAUUUGAUAUUUAGUGAUUUUAUAUAGCUAAUUUUACGGACAUUUGUGGAUAUCAUAGGACACAAAACUUAAUCUGGAAAGUACCAGGUUGGAUAUAUUUGUUUCUUUGGUGUGAUUACCACCGAUUGUUUAAAAACUUUGUUUUCUUUAUCUGUUUAUAUCGCCGACUGUCACCGAGUCAAAACGGGAAUAUGGCAUUGGGUCGUAUUCAAACUGGAAUACGUGUGGCUGUUUUAGGUCACAGUUUUAUUCGUCGGCUGCAUGAAGACUUUAAACAAAAUUCAUAUCCCGCAAACUACGAUUUGGAAGAGUGUUCCGUGGUCCACUUUGGUAUAGGUGGCUUUAGAGUAUGUGAUGGUGAUGCAGUUACGUAUUUCAGCUCAAAAUUUGGGGAUUUUCUGAGACAAGUUGAGCCAAACAUCGUACUUCUUCAAUUAGGAGGUAACGACGUCGAUUCAGUAAAAUCUUCUCUGGACAUUGCCAAUAGAAUUGAAGAAAUUACAGCUCUAAUUAUUCAGGAGUAUGCUGUAGAGAAAGUUGUAGUGUGCGAAAUAUUCACCCGUGCUCGACCAACGAAAGUUACGUCAGAUUUAUUUGAACACAAACGCUUGCAUUCAGUAUCAAUCCUGCAAACUCUUUUGGAUAUGCAUGAUAAAGCAAGAUUCUGGAAGCACAGAAGGCUGUUUUACUCACAGACUCCCAUAUUCCGGAAAGAUGGAAUCCACCUUAACCACAAUGGACAGCGACGUUUUUACAGGUCCUUGAGACAUGCCAUCAUGUCAGCUGUUAGAUCGGUAAUCAAGGAUCGGUCGUAGGGGAGUAUUGUUAAUUUUUUUUUUUUUUUUUUUGGUAUAUUAGUUCAUCAUAAAACCUGUCUGUUGAUAAGAAGGUGGAAGGGAAUAAAGCCAGUAUAAAUAAUAUGAUAUCAUAGAAUAGAAUAUUAUAGCUUGUAGAGUCACUAUAUUCAUAAUAUUAUUUAUGUUAUCAUGAAGAUAAUAAUUACAGUAUAGUCUUUACAGAGACAAUUAACUUAAUUAUUGUUGUCUAAGAGCCAUUGGGCUAUAGCAGAAAUUUUAUAAAUUUUUAUAAGCCAUAAAUAGUCUUUAGCAAAAUUUAAAAAAAAAAAAAAACAACAAAAAACUCCAAAGUGAAAUAUAAACAGACAAUGAUCACAAUCACUUAAUGUCUACCAUUAUAAUGUUCAAUUGUUUGGAACACUUUCUGUGCAUAUCACAUUAAGCACAGAUCUUUAACUUUAUUCAAAUUAUUAUGUUUGUUUUCUUUGAGCCAUUGUGCUUUAGCACAGCUAUAUUUUCUGUGAGCCAUUUAGCAUUAGCACAUGUUUUUAUAUUUUCUGCGAGUCCUUAGGGCUUUAGCGCAGUCUUAAAUAACAUGUUUUCUGUGAGCCAUUGAGCUUUAGCACAGGUGUGUAUGUUUUUUGCGAGUCCUUAGGGCUUUAGCGCAGGCUUAAACAACAUGUUUUUCUGUGAGCUAUUGAGCUUUAGCACAGGUUCUUAUAUUUUCUGCGAGUCCUUAGGGCUUUAGCGCAGGCUUAAAUAACUUGUUUUUCUGUGAGCCAUUGGGCUUUAGCACAGGUUUUUAUUUUUCUGCGAGUCUUGAGGGCUUUAGCGCAGGUUUUUUUUUUUUUUUUUUUUUUUUUUUUUUUUUUUUCCCUGUGAGCUUUUGAGCUUUAGCACAGGUUUUUAUUUUUCUGCGAGUCAUUGAGGGCUUUAGCGCAGGUUUUUAUUUUUCUGUGAGCUUUUGAGCUUUAGCACAGGUUUUUAUUUUUCUGCGAGUCAUUGAGGGCUUUAGCGCAGGUUUUUAUUUUACUGUGAGCUUUUGAGCUUUAGCACAGGUUUUUAUUUUUCUGCGAGUCAUUGAGGGCUUUAGCGCAGGUUUUUAUUUUUCUGUGAGCUUUUGAGCUUUAGCACAGGUUUUUAUUUUUCUGCGAGUCAUUGAGGGCUUUAGCGCAGGUUUUUAUUUUACUGUGAGCUUUUGAGCUUUAGCACAGGUUUUUAUUUUUCUGCGAGUCAUUGAGGGCUUUAGCGCAGGUUUUUAUUUUUCUGUGAGCUUUUGAGCUUUAGCACAGGUUUUUAUUUUUCUGUGAGCUUUUGAGCUUUAGCACAGGUUUUUAUUUUUCUGUGAGCUUUUGAGCUUUAGCACAGGUUUGUAUUUUUCUGUGAGCUUUUGAGCUUUAGCACAAGUUUUUAUAAUUUCUGCGAGUCUUUAGGGCUUUAGCGCAGGCUUUAAUAAAUUGUUUUUUGAGCAAUUAGUCUUAAACAUCAUUCUAAAAAAAAAAAAAAAAAAAAAAAAAAAGUUAUUUAAUGACUGGACCGCCAUAAAUUUAUGUUUACUUACUUAAUGUGUGAAUAUAUCUUUUUAAAUAGCAUAAGCACUUAGGUUAUGAAAGAGGAAGAUAGAGAAAUUGUCUGUCUGGCAGUAAUUUGUCAUGGUCAUUAAUGCCAGAUACAAGAUGCCUUGGAAGUAAGUUAGGGUCAUAAAACUUUGUUCAUGCUUAAUUCAGUACCCCUGCAGAGAUAUUGGUAUCAUCAAACAGGAUAAUAGUAACAUUGAACUGUGAAUUCUUUGAUGUAGGCAUUGAUAUACAUUCUCAUCCCUAAGAUGUCCAUGCUUUAUUGUAUUGCUAGCUAAUUACUUUAUCAGUAUGGUUAAGCAAAUGGAAGUAGAAUGAUCAUAAACAAUAAAAGAUAAAAAUAAAUAAUAAUGAUAAUAAAUAGUUAAAUACAAAAGUAAAUAAAUAAAAAAUGAAUACAUAUUAAACAAGUGAACAAAGUAUUAAAACUUAAUACAUAUCUAUAUAUGUAUAUAUUUUGUUAUAUAAGUAAAUAAUAAUAAUAAAAAAAUAAUAAUAAUAUAUAUAUAUAAUAAUAAUAAUAAUAGAUAAAAAAAAAUAAUAAUAAAAAAAAUACACAUAUAUAUAUAUAUAUUUAUAAGAAUCAUAAAAAUGUUAUUAAUUAAUAAUAGCCAGAAUUUUAAUGGGUGGAUAUCUCAUAUAUGGCAACAUGAAAUUAAAAUGAUUAAAAACAUAAGCAUAUAUUAAUAUAUUAAUUACGAAUUAAAUAAAUUAUGGAUUUAUUCUUAUUAAGAAUUUAAAGUGUUACUAUUUUUAAUUUAAAUAUUUCCGACAAAGGCCAUGCCUCCAGUGUCAUGUACCAGAUUAUAUUAAUCUGGUACUAUUAUAAUAGUAGUCAGUUCCUAAUGAAUUGAUAUUUAAUGUUUCAGCGGCAAAGGCCAUGCCUCCAUGUCAUGUACCAGAUUAUUAUAUUAAUCUGGUACUAUUAUAAUAGUAGUCAGUGUUUUUGAUUUUGUUAUGAAUAACAAAACCUUAAAUAAAUAAAAUAUGGCAGUUUUAUUAUAAUUAUUAUUAUUUUAUUUUCGUAUCGACUGACCGUUAUACUUCAAUACAAUUACUACCGACAUACAUAUCCGCUAUGUAAAACAACAGUUAAGGGAAUAUACCUUUGAAAAUGAAUUUAUGUUUUUGUUUGAAAAACAAGGUACUUGUUCUCUCUCAUUUAUUUUACAGGAGAGCCUUGAAGAGAAUCUACAAACUUUGCUUACAGCUACUAGUAAAUACAAAAUUACGGAAGUACCAGUGUACGAGAUUAUACCACAAAAACAUUAAAGAAGGACAUCCACAUACAGGGAAUAAUUAGUUGUUAUAAAGGAAAUAAAACCUAAACAUGACCACAAACAAUCUGACGGAUGGAAACACUUAGAUGACUGUUCUUACAUUCCAGCAUUUGGAAUAAAAAAAAAAAAUAAAUAAAAAAAAAAAAAAAAAAAAAAAAA